rfam:Oryza nivara chromosome 11, whole genome shotgun sequence.
AUUCCAUGAUGAGGACAGGCGGCCACAUAUUCCUGAAGUCGUUCCCAUGCCUUUGGAAUGGACUCGUCCGUCGUCUGCUGGAAGCUUGAAAUUCUUCCACGAAGGGC